UACGAAGGGGGCGAGCGUUGUUCGGAAUUACUGGGCGUAAAGGGCGCGCAGGCGGCCUUAGAAGUCAGAUGUGAAAGCCCCGGGCUCAACCUGGGAAUGGCAUUUGAUACUCUGAGGCUGGAGUACGGGAGAGGAGAGUGGAAUUCCCAGUGUAGAGGUGAAAUUCGUAGAUAUUGGGAAGAACACCGGUGGCGAAGGCGGCUCUCUGGACCGUAACUGACGCUGAGGCGCGAAAGCGUGGGGAGCGAACAGG
rnacentral:rRNA from 1 species